GACGAACGCUGGCGGCGUGCCUAAUACAUGCAAGUCGAACGCACUCUCGUUUAGAUUGAAGGAGCUUGCUCCUGAUUGAUAAACAUUUGAGUGAGUGGCGGACGGGUGAAUAACACGUGGGUAACCUGCCCUAAAGUGGGGGAUAACAUUUGGAAACAGAUGCUAAUACCGCAUAAAACCUAACACCGCAUGGUGUAGGGUUGAAAGAUGGUUUCGGCUAUCACUUUAGGAUGGACCCGCGGUGCAUUAGUUAGUUGGUGAGGUAAAGGCUCACCAAGACCGUGAUGCAUAGCCGACCUGAGAGGGUAAUCGGCCACACUGGGACUGAGACACGGCCCAGACUCCUACGGGAGGCAGCAGUAGGGAAUCUUCCAACAAUAGGACGAAAAGUCUGAUGGAGCAACGCCGCGUGAGUGAAGAAGGUUU
rnacentral:rRNA from 1 species